UACGAAGGGGGCUAGCGUUGUUCGGAAUUACUGGGCGUAAAGCGCACGUAGGCGGAUAUUUAAGUCGGGGGUGAAAUCCCGGGGCUCAACCCCGGAACUGCCUUCGAUACUGGGUAUCUUGAGUUCGGAAGAGGUGAGUGGAAUUACGAGUGUAGAGGUGAAAUUCGUAGAUAUUCGCAGGAACACCAGUGGCGAAGGCGGCUCACUGGUCCGAUACUGACGCUGAGGUGCGAAAGCGUGGGGAGCAAACAGG
rnacentral:rRNA from 1 species